rnacentral:rRNA from 1 species
UACAGAGGGGGCAAGCGUUAUUCGGAAUUAUUGGGCGUAAAGGGCGCGUAGGCGGCCUGGUAAGUGGAAGGUGAAAUCCCUCGGCUUAACCGAGGAACUGCCCUCCAAACUGCUUGGCUUGAGUCCGGGAGAGGUGAGUGGAAUUCCCAGUGUAGCGGUGAAAUGCGUAGAUAUUGGGAGGAACACCAGUGGCGAAGGCGGCUCACUGGACCGGAACUGACGCUGAGGCGCGAAAGCGUGGGGAGCAAACGGG